AAACCCAAAACCCAAAAAGUCCACCCACCAAAACAAAUUAAAAUUAAGGCAGUCUGUUUCUUGGCUGGAAGAUGUAGAUCUGGUUUACAUUUAUGAUUCUCAGGUGUAGGUGUCCUGCAAGCUACUGAUUAUUUCAUUCUGGAAUGAACAUUAGAUUGAUAGGACAUGUCAAUAAAAGAGAUAACAGUGUAGAGAGGAUAACUGAUGUUAUCGUGCUGGACCGAGUCAGGAACAGUCAGAUUUCAUUACAUGUAUUUAUCUGGGACUUUACACUGGGUUCCUAGGAAAUCAUCUGGAAGUAGAAUUGGGAUCACCAUCCAACUUCUCUUGGAUCCUGAGCCACUGUAGAAACUGCUUUUCCACCAGUCCUAGGAGAGGAGUUUGUCUCAAGCUUUGAUGCUGAUUCCUUAAGAGUUGCAGUUUGUGUUUCAUUGGCCAGGUUUCUUUUGCCCUUAUUUUCCCCCAGGCCCCCUGCACGUGUAGUUCUGAAACAACCGGGGUGUCCUUGUCCUCUGCAAUGUUUCACAUGCUUUGCAAAGGGACUGUGCUGCGUCAGGUAUUACACCUUCAUCUGAUGAGGAGCUGAUUAGCGUUAGAGCUAAUGAUAGAUACUUUUGCUGAUAGUGCUGAAAUGCAAAGACUUAAUGCCGCUCAAUGUAAAUAGAUACGGCUUUGCGUUUCAAUGUAAUGUAAACAGAAAAGAAGCAGCUCCCUUUGAAACGCAAAUUAUUUCGGCAUUAGGGUGUAUUAGUGUAAUGACAGCAUUGAAGUAAUGUCUGCUGACUUCUGAGUAGGUCAAGUAGCAUGUAGUGUUUGGUAGACCUGUGUUUUUGUGUAUGAAUAUAGCUCAAAUUGAGACAAUAGCUUCUGUAAAAUGAUUUUUUUUCUAAUACAAAAAGACUGACUUACACAGAAAUGUGUUUGCAUUGUUCAGAAUGAUGGAAAGUGUUCUUAAGCUGCACUUCAUUGCUCUAAAAUUUUCAGGUUUUUCGGUAUUCCCCAAACCCAUAAAAUAAAUAAAGGUAUCUUGUAUUAAAUAGCUGUAUUUUAGCAGGAAUUAGCAUACAAAUGCUUGAAACUGAAAGUUUAUAAUGCUUUUUAUCCUUUUUAUGCUUAUCUGUUUUAAAUAGCUUCAGUGCUCUGUGAAGACAAAGGCACUGGUGUACAUGCCACUGAUAAUAGACAGUGUGACCGUAUCAUGUAUGCUUCCUUAAUAAUGUCUGACAUUAUCAGAUUGAUUAACUCAGCAGGGGGCUUUAAUCAGAUUUAACUACUGUUGGCAGCUGUACACUGGCAGAAUAGUAAUACAUCAGGGAGUAAUAUUGAACUUCUUUUAUAAGCUGUAUUAAUCUUGAAACUAAAAAAUGUACCAUAAAAAUUAUCAUUAUUUCUAGUACUAAUGCAAAGAGAAGUAGAGUUUACAUAUUGCUCACACAAUCUCACAUCUCUUUUGGAUUGUGCUUUACCAAAUUUUCUGUUUUCACCAGUUCCAAAUAAUGACAAUCUUCAGAUUGUCCUUUGGUCGUUAAUGGGAGUGUAUCUUAAAUAUAGAUAUUCCUUUCAGGAUUCAAAGACGAAUAGAUCAUUUGGGACUCAAUGAAUUAAGCAGAAAAAAUAAUGAAAAUAUUUCGUAGCUUCAGUUUUAAGCAUUUGUGUAUGUGACAAAGUAAUGAUAGUUAGGUUUUGUGCUUUGCCCUUUUCAAGUCAAAUGCCAUAUUAUGACACAUUUUUUUAGUUUUAUUUCAUGCAGGAUACUCUCAGUAUUAAUAAAUAAAAUGCAGGCUUCAAAGAUGUUAAUGUAACAUUCAUAGAUCAGUAGGUCAGAAGGGACAACUGUGAUCAUCAAGUGUGACCUUCUGCCUAUCGCAUGACAUUAAGAUUUUCUGAGUUCAUUCUCAUUUGAACUAAAGUAUCUCUUCUUGAAAAGACUGACUUUUGAUUGAAACAAAUUAAUGAAGGGGACAAGCAUAGUCCUUGAUUAUUUGUCUCAGUUAUCCUUCAGGUAAAUUACAGUCUGGGUUGUUUUGGGGGAUUUUAAGUGUAGUUAAUGCUGAUUCUGCUGUUGCUACAUUGUGUUUUUCAUGAACUUUCAUUGCUUUGUAUUUUUCCAUAACUUCCUAUUUGAAAGCAAAAUAAUUCCAGUUCCUGGAGUAUUCUUUUUUCACAGUAAGCUUUUUAGGUUUUGACUACUGUUGUGUAAGGUGCCUGUGUUCAGGUGGAUUUUUGUGGCACGUUAUUGAGUCUUCCUUCCCAAAUCAAAUUUUGUUGUUAUUCUGAAUGUACUGUCUUCAUAUUUGUAUCUUGCAUAUAAGACUUUGCGUUUCUUGGUAUUUCAACGCUGAUAUUUACUUGUAUUGAUCUUAUCAAGAAGUUCGAGUUGUUUGACCUAGGCGGUUCAGGGUUUUUCCAUUUCUCCCAUCUGUGUUAAAGUUGUAAUUGUUGUCAGUGAUGAUUUAGUUUACUUCAGGUUAUGAAUAUAAAUGUGAGCCACAGACCACCGAGACUUGAUUUUACAGCUUACUGCUAGACUGUUUCAAAUCCUCCUUUUUCAACUGAGCCUAAAGCCCUGCCAUUUUAUUUUCUACAUUCUUAUAUUGCAAGCAGAUUGGACAAGUAUGACCUUCUCUCCUCCUCUUCCAGAGUGUGAGUCUUAGAUGACUGACAUCCCAUAGCUGGUGCAGUGACUGAGCUGUGCUUAAACAAUCAUUUCCUCAUCAGAACUAUUUUUUCAAAUUAUGUGGAAAAUUCUUUAUAAUAAGUUUUUCACAUUGUUUAAUUCAUAAUUGGAAGAGUAAGAGUCUAAUUUGUGGAGUACUCUAUUAAGAGCUGCUGCACAAGUAAGCUUUGCAGAAGAAGGAAUGAUGUGGUUGACUGCAGCUUGG